GCAUUUAAAUAAAAUAAAUAUCGUGCGAGUCUAAUUAGUGUAAAACAUUAAAUUUCAAAUUAAUAAUUAGAAAUGAAAAACAAAUUUUGAGAAAAGGCCCAUAAGAGCACUCUAAUUAGGAAAGAAAAACAAAUUAUUAUAGUUUGUUUGGGACAUUGGAUUGUAACGUGGCUCCUGAGCAUUAUUUUAAAAACCGAAUGAAGUAACCAACUGGAUCUAGAAUCGAUCGUCAGUUUGAUCCAGUUAAGAUUUAGAAAUCAAAAUUCUAUUUAAAUCCAAUUUUUAACAAAAUGAACUUGCUGUUCUGAAAAGGAAAAGGAAGAACACUUGCACUAGAUAAGUACUUAGACAUACCCAAGCUUCAAGCCAUCUUCAACUGCCCCAGCCUUCAAUAAAUUCGCUGAAGGAGCCCAAGUAACUGGAAUUAACUCGUGAAGCAAUGACCAGAUCAAUUCUUCUUUUUACUCUAAACAUCAUGUUAGAGGAGACAGAGGAGUCUUUAUUGUAAGAAAUAAACCAGCACUCUUGAAAAGUAGCUAUAGAUUUUGAAAUUGAGAGUGUUUGGUUCAACUGUUAGGAAUUAGUUGUUAACUAAUUU
rnacentral:lncRNA from 1 species